CCUCUCUCUCCUCCUCUCUCGCUCGGAUCUACUUUUGCUCUGUCUCUCUCUCUUUCAUUCUAUCUCUCUUAUCUCUUCUCGAUAUUCAUCGGAUUCUCAUAAAUCGAAACAAAAACUGUUGAAUCAAGAAUCAAACCAAACAGUUAUUCUUUUUACGUUCAACUGGUGGAAUCAAUCAAGUUGAUUUAAGUAGAUCCGCGGUUCAAGUUUCGUCUUAUGCUUUAAAAAGUCAAAAAAAUUUCAUUCAAAGAAGACAUCAAUCUGGAGCUCAAGAUCUACAAUGAAUGAUGAAUGGUACGGUUUUAACAAAAGCGAAGUCGGGAGUCAUAAAUGAGGAAGCUGGGAUUCAUAACUCAUGAAGUUUCUAAAUUUUUAAAAAUGAAAGACAGAGUACUCGUUGGGGAGUUACAGAGGGACAUGAGGCAGAAGCGAGUAAACUUAUAGAUCAAGAGUUUCAUGUUUCAACAUUGUGAUGAGGAAAUGGAAGACACGAUAAUCAGUUAGUUCUCAGUGCUCUGCGGAGUAAGAGAGGGACAUUAGACAGAAGCUGAAAAGAAGAAUACAACCUUCACAUGACAGCAGACUUGUAAAUGGUUAGUAUUCAUUUUUUUUUUUUUGAAUUGAAUAAUCAAUUAUAUCUCUUAAUAAUUUGAUAGGUGUUUUGAAUUUAAGAUACUCGGUUAGUAGUUUAUUUCCUGAUAAACACUGCCUUAAGUUAAAGUUUGAUACCAAUUGUACUUGCAUUAGUUAAACUAUGAUAAUAGUUUGAUGUUACUUGCAUUUGAUGUUCCUGAUAGUCUUAGAUAAGAAUAGUUUCUGUUAUAAACUGUAGUAGAAUUGGUAGGUUUGACGAAAGAUAAAGAAUAACAAUCUUAAAGGAUAAAAUUUUAGUCUAGAUCCAACAAAUGUUGAUUAUUGGAGAACUUUUUUUAAAUAUUUUAUACAAUCAUACUGUCAUUCUCUAAUUAUUUUUUAUAUAUUACAUGAUCUUGGAUGUUCUCCAAUGUUUGAGGGAAUUCAACGGCAUAAGAAGACAGCAAAAGGGACUGGAAAAAAAUUUACUGUCUGCGGAGUAACAGAAGGAUAUGAGAAAGAAGCUGCAUAAGAAGAGGAACAAAAGUAGUCAUGAUAGACAUUUUUGGGAGGUUUUAGCUUUGAACGAUAUAGUUUGUAGGUGUAGGGGAAGAUGUAUAUAUAGUUAGCGAUGAGAAAGUAGGGUUAACGCGAGAAAAUUUUAUAAAGAUAUUUUUAGUUGUGAUGUUAUCAUUAAAACCGAAUAUACAUAUAUAAUUAUCUUCCUAAAAAUGAUUAUUUU